rnacentral:rRNA from 1 species
AACGAACGCUGGCGGCAUGCCUAACACAUGCAAGUCGAACGAGACCUUCGGGUCUAGUGGCGCACGGGUGCGUAACGCGUGGGAACCUGCCCUUAGGUUCGGAAUAACUCCCCGAAAGGGGUGCUAAUACCGGAUAAUGUCUUCGGACCAAAGAUUUAUCGCCUUUGGAUGGGCCCGCGUUGGAUUAGCUAGUUGGUAGGGUAAAAGCCUACCAAGGCGACGAUCCAUAGCUGGUCUGAGAGGAUGAUCAGCCACACUGGGACUGAGACACGGCCCAGACUCCUACGGGAGGCAGCAGUGGGGAAUAUUGGACAAUGGGCGAAAGCCUGAUCCAGCAAUGCCGCGUGAGUGAUGAAGGCCUUAGGGUUGUAAAGCUCUUUUACCCGGGAUGAUAAUGACAGUACCGGGAGAAUAAGCUCCGGCUAACUCAGUG